rnacentral:lncRNA from 1 species
AAAAUGUGUUUCCAGAGCAAGGAGUGGGUGAGCCCCACUACCGGUUUCCAGCUUUCUUUCUGCUUGCCUCCAGAUGAUGCUAUGAGUGGAAGUGUGCACUUCCUGUUAGCAUCCAAUUAUCAUGGCCUCUCAAUCUCUUUGUGGUGACCCAGGGUCCAGAGCAAGAAGUCUUGCUCUAUAUAAAUGUAUUUACACAAUAUAAACGCCUCUUUGGCACAAACAUCCAUUUCCUUCUGAUAAUAAGGCUGCCUGGGGAAGCUAUCCCAAGUGGGAGAAUGGGACUCCAGCAGCCUCUGAAUGAAUGCUUUCAUCAGAAAUAAGGUAGCUGCCUUAGCCAUUUACACAAGGGUUCACUGUAACAUUUCACACGCCCAAUGGUGUCCUCAGUGUUCUUCAGGUAAUGGGGAUCUCAGAAAAUGUGGUUCUGAUCCAAAUACAUAGUGUGUGUUUCAGCGCAGUGUUUUAUAAGAAAGGAAAAUGCCGCAUAGUAAAAGAAAGGUGUCUACUUUGUCGGACAAACCAAAUUGGUUCUCAAAAGUGACCGGUGCUUGUAAAAAGUUAUUACAAAGUAGUUCUGAAACCAACCACCGAAUGAAUGCCUGUAGCCAAGAGGGAAUCAGCCCGGUUGUCUUCCUAAUAUGCCAAUUCCAGAGUCACUGACUGAGGUGAGAACCAGCACAGAAACUAUAAACUGCUGUUUUUUGAUACCUGCUUUUUGUUUUGUUCUGUUUUGUAAAAUUAUGAUAAACUUCAGAAAAUAAAAUGUCAGUAUUGAAUUAAAAAAAAAAGAAAAGAAAAAGAAAAGAAACAA